GAUGAACGCUGGCGGCGUGCCUAAUACAUGCAAGUCGGGCGAACAGAUGAGGAGCUUGCUCCUCUGACGUUAGCGGCGGACGGGUGAGUAACACGUGGAUAACCUACCUAUAAGACUGGGAUAACUUCGGGAAACCGGAGCUAAUACCGGAUAAUAUAUUGAACCGCAUGGUUCAAUAGUGAAAGACGGUUUUGCUGUCACUUAUAGAUGGAUCCGCGCCGCAUUAGCUAGUUGGUAAGGUAACGGCUUACCAAGGCAACGAUGCGUAGCCGACCUGAGAGGGUGAUCGGCCACACUGGAACUGAGACACGGUCCAGACUCCUACGGGAGGCAGCAGUAGGGAAUCUUCCGCAAAGGGCGAAAGCCUGACGGAGCAACGCCGCGUGAGUGAUGAAGGUCUUCGGAUCGUAAAACUCUGUUAUUAGGGAAGAACAAAUGUGUAAGUAACUAUGCACGUCUUGACGGUACCUAAUCAGAAAGCCACGGCUAACUACGUG
rnacentral:rRNA from 1 species